rnacentral:lncRNA from 13 species
GUCACACUCUCUCCCAGCUGCACUGAGGGGAAAUAAGUCACCCAGGACAAACGCAACGACUAAUAACAUCCAGACAUGUCUAGCUAGUGCUCUCUGAUGUUCAGUAUGAAUACUGUUUAACUUAGAUAGAAAUGAACCUAUAUUGCCUAAUUGGUUUGAGUCUAAAGGGGGUGAGAGAAGGAGGGUUAUGAUGGUAGGUCUUAUCUGACAGCAGACCGUACUGUACUUUAAUGACAGAAUCCGUCAUCUUUCAGCUCAAGCCUCGAACUAAAACACUUGACUAUACCUUCACCCUUACAGAGAUCAAUAACUCACUGAGUGAAUCUGUCCCUCUCAAGACUGCCAUCACUCCAUCAGCAUGCAAUAACGCUGGACUCAAUUCCAGGUUCUCUACCCCUAUGCUGUGUUGACCUGUGACUCCCUAACAUUCUCUCUGAUUGGUGGAGCUGCUGUGUGUAUGGACUUGAACAGGAAGUGCGUUGAGCGAAGAAUGAUUUCAGAAAUGUAACGAGGUCAGAGAUCUUUUCCGGAGCCUGGAGAGAAUCUACUCCCAACAAGUUCACAAGUAUUUGACCUCCCACAAUGCCGUGUUAAAAAACUAUGGGGGAUGGGGGACACCAAAACCACUUUGUGUGGGUUUAAAUAGAUGUGGCUCACCAAUCCUAACUCUAAAGCCGCUAAAAGUCUAAACCAGAACUACAUCUGAAGGGAAUACACAGCUAUAGCUACAAAGACACGUACAGUGCCUUCAGAAAGUAUUCAGACCCCUUGACUUUUUCCACAUUAAGUUACGUUACAGCUUUAUUCUAAAAUUGGUUUUGUUUUUAAAUCCUCAGCAAUUUACACGCAAUACCCCAUAAUGACAAAAACAGAAAUUCCUUAUUUACAGAAGUAUUCAAACCCUAUGAUAUGAUACUCAAAGUUGAGCUCAGGUGCAUCCUGUUUCCAUCGAUCAUCCUUGAGAUGUUUCUACAACUUUAUUGGCGUACACCUGUGGUAAAUUCAAUUGAUUGGACAUGAUUUGGAAAGGCACACACCUGUCUUUAUAGCUGAUGGUGCAAGCCAUGGGAUCAAAGGAAUUGUCCAUAGAGCUCUGAGGCACAGCAUUGAAGUUCCCCAAGAACACAGUGGCCUCCAUCAUUCUUAAAUAGAAAAACUUUGGAACCACCAAGACUCUUCCAAGAGCUGACCGCCCGGCCAAACUGAGCAAUCAGGGGAAAAGGGCCUUGGUCAGGGAGGUGACCAAGAACCCAAUGGUCACUCUGACAGAGGUCUAGAGUUCCUCCGUGGAGAUGGGAGAAUCUUCCAGAAGGACAACCAUCUCUGCAGCACUCAACCAAUCAGGCCUUUAUGGUAGAGUGACCAGACGGAAGUCACUCUUCAGUAAAAGGCACAUAACAGCCCGCUUGGAGUUUGCCGAAAGGCACCUAAAGACUCACAGACCAUGAGAAACAAGAUUCUCUGGUUUGAUAAAACUAAGAAUGAACUCUUCGGCCUGAAUGCCAAGCGUCACGUAUAGAGGAGACCUGGCACCAUCCCUACUGUGAAGCAUGGUGGUGGCAGCAUCAUGCUGUGGUAAUGUUUUUCAGUGGCAGGGACUGGGAGACUAGUCAGCCUGGACAUGAACCCGAUCGAACAUCUUUGGAGAGACCUGAAAAUAGUUGAGAAGCAACGCUCUCCAUCCAACCUGACAGAGCUUGAAUUUCUGCCAAAGGUGCUUCAACAAAGUACUGAGUAAGGGGACUGAAUACUUAUGUUAAUGUGAUAUUUAAGUUUUUUAUUUUUAAUUGUAAUACAUUAGCAAACAUUUCUAAAAACCUGUUUUUGCUUUGUCAUUAUGGGGUGUUGUGUGUUGAUUGAUGAGGGCAAAAAACGAUUUAAUCAAUUUUAUAAUAAGGCUGUAACGUAACAAAAUGUGGACAAAGUCUAGGGGUCUGAAUACUUUCAGAAUGCUCUGUAUAUACUGUACAUUACACAUUGUCCAUGCAAAAUAAACAAAAAACACUU